rnacentral:rRNA from 1 species
UGCGGAAGGAUCAUUACCGAGUGCGGGCCCUCGCGGCCCAACCUCCCACCCUUGUCUCUAUACACCUGUUGCUUUGGCGGGCCCACCGGGGUCACCUGGUCGCCGGGGGACGUCUGUCCCCGGGCCCGCGCCCGCCGAAGCGCUCUGAGAACCCUGAUGAAGAUGGGCUGUCUGAGUACUAUGAAAAUUGUCAAAACUUUCAACAAUGGAUCUCUUGGUUCCGGCAUCGAUGAAGAACGCAGCGAAAUGCGAUAAGUAAUGUGAAUUGCAGAAUUCCGUGAAUCAUCGAAUCUUUGAACGCACAUUGCGCCCCCUGGCAUUCCGGGGGGCAUGCCUGUCCGAGCGUCAUUUCUGCCCUCAAGCGCGGCUUGUGUGUUGGGUGCGGUCCCCCCGGGGACCUGCCCGAAAGGCAGCGGCGACGUCCGUUUGGGUCCUCGAGCGUAUGGGGCUUUGUCACUCGCUCGGGACGGACCCGCGGGGGUUGGUCACCACCACAAUUUUACCACGGUUGACCUCGGAUCAGGUAGGAGUUACCCGCUGAACUUAAGCAUAUCAUAAGNCCGGAGGAAAGAUCAUUACCGAGUGCGGGCCCUCGCGGCCCAACUCCACCCUUGUCUCUAUACCCCCUGUUGCUUUGGCGGGCCC